rnacentral:rRNA from 1 species
UAACGAAUAUUAGGCAAUGGGCGAAAGCCUGACCCAGCAAUGCCGCGUGCAGGACGAAGUCCUUCGGGAUGUAAACUGCUGUCAGGGGUCCGCAAGCGAAGGGGUCCAACAGGCCCUGGAGUUGAGCAGCCCCAGAGGCAGCCUCGACUAACUCUGUGCCAGCAGUCGCGGUAAGACAGAGGAGGCAAGCGUUGUUCGGAAUCACUGGGCUUAAAGCGCGUGUAGGCGGCUUAGAAAGUGUCGUGUGAAAUCCCGCGGCUCAACCGCGGAACUGCACGGCAAACUACUUUGCUUGAGGUCGGUAGAGGUGCCUGGAACUCUAGGUGGAGCGAUGAAAUGCGUAGAUAUCUAUAGGAACGCCAGAAGCGAAAGCGGGGCACUGGGCCGAUUCUGACGCUGAGACGCGAAAGCGUGGGGAGCAAACA